rnacentral:rRNA from 1 species
UGCGUAGGCGGAUUAAUAAGUCAGUGGUGAAAACCUGCAGCUUAACUGUAGAACUGCCAUUGAUACUGUUAGUCUUGAGUACGGUCAAGGUAGGCGGAAUGUGUAAUGUAGCGGUGAAAUGCUUAGAUAUUACACAGAACACCGAUUGCGAAGGCAGCUUACUGGGCCAUCACUGACGCUGAGGCACGAAAGCGUGGGUAGCGAACAGGAUUAGAUACCCUGGUAGUCC